rnacentral:rRNA from 1 species
CCUUACCUGGUCUUGACAUCGUGCGAACUUUGUAGAUAUAGAUCGGUGCCUUCGGGAACGCAGUGACAGGUGGUGCAUGGAUGUCGUCAGAUUGUGUCGUGAGAUGUUGGGCUAAGUCCCAUAACGAGCGCAACCCACAUCGUUAGUUACCAGCGGUUCGGCCGGGAACUCUAAGGAAACUGUCCCGUGAUAAGCGGGAGGAAGGUGUGGAUGACGUCAAGUCCUCAUGGCCCUUACGGGUUGGGCUACAACACGUGCUACAAUGGCAGUGACAAUGGGUUAUUCCCCAAAAACUGUCUCAGUUCGGAUUGGGGUCUGCAACUCGACCCCAUGAAGUCGGAAUCGCUAGUAAUCGCGUAACAGCAUGACGCGGUGAAUACGUUCCCGGGUCUGUACACACCG